GCUUCUUGAAGAUGUCUCACCGUUGCCUCCAUUGGCUUUUGUACUAGGUAGUAAGAUGUAAAGGGGAAAGAAUUUUUAGUGAUGGUUUCUUUUCAGUGUGUUUGUCUCCUGUAAGAUUGUGGCCAGCACAGUAGCUGUGCGUCAGCAACGAAGUCUAGUUACAGGCUUCGGUGUUAGAAGGAGAUUGAGUCAGUUCCUCUGGUUGCUGUAUUUGGACUCAUCUGAUGGCCAACAUCCAUCCGGAUUUGUCUUUCUACUAACAGCCCACCUUCUGACUGACCGUGUAGGAUCAAAGGGCCUCCGAUCAAAUUUUGUCCAUGUCUGACCCAACCUACCAGAUUUUGAAGCAAAUGUUUUCGUGCCUGCCCACGCAAACUGCAAGGAGGACAACACAAGAAAAUAAAUGAAAGUGCCAGGAAAAUUAUUUUUUUGGC
rnacentral:lncRNA from 1 species